CAAUCCUAUAAACAUAUAUUGUUUUACUGUUUCGGAAAAGGAAGGCCGGUGAAUCCUCUUUUGACAAGCCACAAAUGAAAAAAAGAGAGUGACUUCCCCCUCAAAAUCAAGCACCUUGCUGACCUCCGACUAUCAGGAGAUUGAAGUCAAUGAGGACGUCAUGAAGGCCCUCCUCGCCUCUUUUGAGAUAUCAAGUCCAUAUGAUGCAAGUCCAUAUGGUCCAACAUAUCUUCCCGUUCUAUUUCAUCGCGCACUACCUCCAUCUUUGUCCAGUGAUUGUUAAGUAGACGCAGUCUGGUGAAUAAUGUUUGUGCUGAAUGUUAGGUUUAUGGUGAGGUGACCGCUGUGAUACCUGUACACCACAGUAAAAACAAACGACGUUGUCACAGAUUCCAGAGUAGAAAAAAACUGCUGAUGCUAGGUCGAUGGAUUGUUGUCGAACUUGUGGUGGCCAGUGUUGGAAUUACUUCACUCGGUCUUCAUGGACCAAGAAGUCGGGGUGAUGAGGUCGAAUAUCAGUAUAUGUCCAUUCCAUAGUGUUAGAAAACACGCUCAAGACUGAUCAGGCGGUGAAUGGUAUCAAAAAUGUCGCAUUGACUGUCUUCAGAUUUCCACGUAGUCUCACGCCAAUCUUUUCAAUGAAACUUCUGCUUAUAAAUGUUGAUACAGUCUGAUGGUAUAUGUAUGAUUUUGUAAACGUUCUUCCAAUAAAA